rnacentral:lncRNA from 1 species
ACUUUUGUUAAAGACCCUUUGACUAAUUUGGAGUGGAAGGGAGUCAAAAAUAGCAAUCCAAAACCGGUUUACUAAAGGACCCUAAAAAUCUCUUAAGUCCUGGAAUUCGAGUUUUCCUCCAUCUUUGCAAGCUUUCAUCUCCCGAUUUCCUAUCUAAACUCAAGUCAGGGCCUGAAUGAAAGUUAUAGUACCUCAAGUGUGUUCCAACUUUGUUACACUAACCCAGAUCCAAAUCGGGCCCGAACCUGUUCAAAACCCC